ensembl:lncRNA
GGAGAGGGUCAAUGAUGGAUUUGAGGUGCGACAGGACAAGGCGCUCAAAGGACUUCAUGACCACAGAGGUCAAGGCGACUGAUGCCGGUGUCAACAUGAGGGAAUGUCAUCCUGAGCCUCACCACUGGAGGGCGAUGGACGAGGGAGUGUUGUUGUGAAACAGAAGGAAGACGCACACAGGAAGACACUCACACAUCACAGAGUAACACCGAGAAGACGGAAAGUUCUGAAUGUUCACUAGUUUAAGGACCCUUACCUUUACUAUUUUUAGUUUAAGACCCCUCACGUUAACCGUCAUUUCCUGAACAUUAAUGAUAGCACUCUCCUUGUAGACCUCCUGACCCAUGGACACCUCGGAACGUCGGGAAAUCUACAUCCCCCAAGACGCUCAGGUGGGGUCCAUCCCCCUCUGGACCAUACCGGACCGGAUCCUGGACCGGAUGGGAGUCCCCCGACCCUCCAACAACCCCUCCUCAUCCAGCUCCCCCUCUCCGUCCCCGGAGGGGACUUGGAUCUCCCCGGUGCUGGUCCGGACGAUGAGCCAUCCUGCGGUCUCCGGGGACAUCGACCCAACGGGGGGGAGCCCCAUUUGGGCCAUGCGGAAAACACUCGCAGACACUCACGGUAGUCCGUUCGAAAUCCCGGUCGUGACGUCGAACCGCCUGGCCUUCGAGGUGCUCCGGGAUUUCCUACCUGGCGCACGGUUCUCCAACCUCACAAGUGGCCCCCGAUCGUGCAUCAGGUUACCUCGGGUGGCCGCUCCUCCCCUCCACCAUGAAGCGGUGCUCGUAUACGAGGGCAACGUCUUCCUGUCCACCAGGAGGCCCAAGCGGAGGAGAGGAGGCGAGCCCUCUUCGGCACCCCCCACGGCUCUGUCUCCGGUCUUCUCUGUCCCGGACAGCACAGCUGCGUCCAUCGGAGAACCUCACCAGACCGAACGCACGCUGAGAAACUCUGGAGGACUACAAGUCCCAGAAGACACUGCUACUUCUAAACCAGUCCCAGAAGACCCUGCUGCUUCUCACCCAGUCCCAGAAGACUCUGCUGCUUCUUACCCAGUCCCAGGAGACCCUCAUUCUCCUCAUCAAGACCCAGAAGAAGAGUCUGAGGACACCCCCUCUGAGACCGCCAGCGCUCCCAACACAGACCACCCAGAAGCAACCAGCAGCCCCCAGUUUGGGGACCAGGACCACCCUAGUGUCUUUGUCCCGCCACAUGAGGGCAGACUCGGAUCAGCUCAGAAGAAUUACAGAGACUGUGACUUCGAAGCGCUGGCACUGGACGAGAAGAUCGCCCAGAUGAAAGCGAAGCUCGUCGAGAGCGAAGCGGCUCUGAGGAGAGGCUGCAGCUGAAGGCCGCAACAGGACCUGUGCACAGGCCCGGCUCUGGGCAAAGGCAGUAUAGGCGAAUGCUACGGGCGCAUCCAGGGACGUCCUUAGGGGGGGUUAAUUAGGAUGAUUCCAAGGGCGCAGCACUGACGGGGCGCCCCAGAGAACGGAUUUCGGAUUAAAUCAUCAAAUUAAGGUGGUUUGUUUCGUUGUUUUGUUGUGGUUUGUUUCUCCAUUUUUACAAAAUCAUUAGAAAGUCUUCCUAUUAUCCCCCCUCUCGUUUGUCAUUAUUGGGUACAGCCCAAGUCUCACGCUUCUGCAGAGCAAAGUAGCAGCCAGGCAUAUCGUGGUGAAGCAAGUGCAGACUGCUAGUGUCUUAAACUAGCAGUCUAAAGUCAGUUUGUGUGUAUCCCGGUCGGUGAAAUCAAGAAGUCAGGUUGUCAGGGGAGGAAAGAGAGAAAGAGAUAGAGGAAAGAGCUCCAACCGGUCGACAGUUCGUCACCCAGUUUUUUACCAAGAAACUUUCCCAACAACCUGAUAACAAGCCUAGCCUAGCAGCUAGCGCUACUGUAGCUAAAAUAAUUACAGCCUGCACUGGGUGAUAAAACUGAAAAGAUCGUUUGCAUUACCAUUCACAUGAUAUCCAAUAGCCUACCUAUCUACAAAAAGCCUACAUUAUUUUUACAAGUCGAGCGGACUAUUUAAUAUCUCCCGUAUGCAGGCGUUGCCAAGCAACAUGGCCAUAGCGUCUCAUAGGGUCAACGUCUUUCCUAGGUGUAAAGUAACACUUUUUAACCUACACCCUCCAGCCAAUCAGAAUCGGGUAUUCAUCCAGACCAUGGUAAAAAUGGAGAUAAUGCAAUGAUUAAUCAGAAUCAGAAUCAGAAUCGGUUUAUUGCCAGAUACAUUUACACAUAUGAGGAAUUUGUCUUGGUAUUCGUAUCCGUUGCGCACGAUCUUAACAAACAAUAAACAGUAAACAAUAAACAAUAAGCAAGUAUUGAAUAAUAAGUACUGAAAAAGAUAAGAGUAAAUAAAAAAUAUAGUAAAUAAAAAAUAUGUCGCACCCCACAGUCCGCGACAGUCUUCCCAUAAUGACCAAUAUUAUACUAUAGGUGUCCGGGAAGCCUAACCCAGACAGAGCUCCAAGUGUCCACACAGAACGUCCCCAGAUGUGCCCCUUCGUGACGUCAGACUACUUCUGAAAAGACAGGCUGACGUCACGAACAGAACGCCACUUGCGUUCAGCAGAG